CUCAGUUUGUAGACCCCAUCGCCCCAUUAAAAGGAAUCAUUCCUCCUUCAACACAAGACUGUGUUUGAAAAUAUGUGGCAAGCACUACGGUUUAAUUCAGACGAGUCAUUGGGGGUCUUGGCCAAGCGUCCCACGAGCGUAUUCACAGGAUAUUUAAUGGACUUGUACAGUUUGCACGGAAACAGUUCCAAGUUUUUCAGUUCAUCCACACUUGCCAAAUGUUUAGAGCGGCCAAGAAAAUAUGGAAGAAUUCUGAAUUUACAGCUUUGAUGUGUUUCCUGCCUGGUGUGACAGAGGAGAGAAAUGACAAGGGAGUAUGUGUGUAUGUGUGUUUGUGUGUGUGAGAGACUCAUAUGAACAAAAAUGGGAGGAGAAAAGGAGAGAGAGUGAGAAAAGUUACAGCCGACGAGGGAACAUUGUGAGACCGGCUCAGUACAGGAUGAGUGAAGUAGGAGAAAGCUACAGUCGCAUUUGAUGCAUUCAGUCGCUUUGCUUUUCACCCUGUACAAGCAGCUUCUCAGAAUCAGGUGUCAUUUCUGCCUGCUGGAGAAACACACGCUAUCAGGAGUCAACAGACAUCUGCUGCUUCAACACACACGCACACAUGCACACAUGCACUCCGCUGCAGAGAUGAGACCAAAUGUGUGUUUGCUUAGUUGUCAGACGUAACCCAGCUCUGGAAUAGAAGAGCUCUGAACCAGAUUUACAUGGACAAGAAAAACAGCUCCAUAAAUAAUUCUAAUCAUGAGAUAGCCGAUCAGUAUUACUAUCAGGAGAAUACAUGGGAACCUCUUUUGGCGUAGUGGAAAUAUGGGACAAAAAUCAGGAACUGAUUAUUGAGAGACAAGGUCAUGAAUCAUCAUAUGACCGAAAGAAGGAAAAAUAGGAAGAUGCAACAUCUGGCGAAAACAUUCCAUUCAACCACCAAACAUCAGGAGCUCUUAUAUAAAGACCAUCUCCAUUAGCCACGAACAUGUUAAGUUUUGCCACAUUUUGGGUUUAAGGAGGAAUUACGAGCAAGUUUGUUGUAAUAACAUGUGGUUUUAGGUUAAAUUAACACGGGUUUACAAUCUACCCACAUUCUUAUGCCCUCUUAACAACUGCCUUCAUUUACUGACUGUUAACAUUUAUGAUUGUGCAUGUUUGAACAAAAAAGAAAAGACCAGAGAACAGAGAAAGAGAUGGGAAAAUUGUGCAACACAGCCUUGUUAUUAUUAUUAAAUAGGCAUUUGAACAUAAAA